GUGCUCUUUUCAGCAGCACAUAUACUAAAACUGGCACAACACAGAGAAGGUUAGCAUGGCCCUGCGCAAGGAUGACGCAAAUUCGUGAGGUGUUCCAUAUUUUA